GUCCUAGCUUUGGCUGGACUUAAACUAAAAUUGGAACGAUACAAAGAAGAUUAACAUGGCCCCUGCGCAAGGAUGAACACCAUUAUUAUUUAUUAUAAUGAU